CACGUAGGGUGCGAGCGUUGUCCGGAAUUAUUGGGCGUAAAGAGCUCGUAGGCGGUGUGUCGCGUCGGCCGUGAAAACCUGCAGCUUAACUGUGGGCUUGCGGUCGAUACGGGCAUCACUGGAGUUCGGCAGGGGAGACUGGAAUUCCUGGUGUAGCGGUGAAAUGCGCAGAUAUCAGGAGGAACACCGGUGGCGAAGGCGGGUCUCUGGGCCGAUACUGACGCUGGAGGAGCGAAAGCCGUG
rnacentral:rRNA from 1 species